GAUGAACGCUGGCGGCGUGCCUAAUACAUGCAAGUCGAGCGAAUGGAUUAAGAGCUUGCUCUUAUGAAGUUGGCGGCGGACGGGUGAGUAACACGUGGGUAACCUGCCCAUAAGACUGGGAUAACUCCGGGAAACCGGGGCUAAUACCGGAUAACAUUUUGAACCGCAUGGUUCGAAAUUGAAAGGCGGCUUCGGCUGUCACUUAUGGAUGGACCCGCGUCGCAUUAGCUAGUUGGUGAGGUAACGGCUCACCAAGGCAACGAUGCGUAGCCGACCUGAGAGGGUGAUCGGCCACACUGGGACUGAGACACGGCCCAGACUCCUACGGGAGGCAGCAGUAGGGAAUCUUCCGCAAUGGACGAAAGUCUGACGGAGCAACGCCGCGUGAGUGAUGAAGGCUUUCGGGUCGUAAAACUCUGUUGUUAGGGAAGAAUAAGUGCUAGUUGAAUAAGCUGGCACCUUGACGGUACCUAACCAGAAAGCCACGGCUAACUACGUGCCAGCAGCCGCCGUAA
rnacentral:rRNA from 1 species